rnacentral:rRNA from 1 species
UACAGAGGGUGCGAGCGUUAAUCGGAAUUACUGGGCGUAAAGCGCACGUAGGCGGCUUGGUAUGUCGGGUGUGAAAUCCCCGGGCUCAACCUGGGAACUGCAUCCGAAACUGCCUUGCUCGAGUAUGGGGAGAGGGAAGUGGAAUUUCCGGUGUAGCGGUGAAAUGCGUAGAUAUCAGGAGGAACACCGGUGGCGAAGGCGGGUCUCUGGGCAGUAACUGACGCUGGAGGAGCGAAAGCGUGGGGAGCGAACAGG